rnacentral:tRNA from 1 species
GCCCCCUUAGCUCAGUCGGUAGAGCGUUUCCAUGGUAAGGAAAAGGUCAACGGUUCGAUUCCGUUAGGGGGGCUC